rnacentral:rRNA from 1 species
AGAGUUUGAUCCUGGCUCAGAUUGAACGCUGGCGGCAGGCUUAACACAUGCAAGUCGAGCGGUAGCACAGGGGAGCUUGCUCCCNGGGUGACGAGCGGCGGACGGGUGAGUAAUGUCUGGGAAACUGCCUGAUGGAGGGGGAUAACUACUGGAAACGGUAGCUAAUACCGCAUAACGUCGCAAGACCAAAGAGGGGGACCUUCGGGCCUCUUGCCAUCAGAUGUGCCCAGAUGGGAUUAGCUAGUAGGUGGGGUAAUGGCUCACCUAGGCGACGAUCCCUAGCUGGUCUGAGAGGAUGACCAGCCACACUGGAACUGAGACACGGUCCAGACUCCUACGGGAGGCAGCAGUGGGGAAUAUUGCACAAUGGGCGCAAGCCUGAUGCAGCCAUGCCGCGUGUGUGAAGAAGGCCUUCGGGUUGUAAAGCACUUUCAGCGAGGAGGAAGGUGGUGAGCUUAAUACGUUCAUCAAUUGACGUUACUCGCAGAAGAAGCACCGGCUAACUCCGUGCCAGCAGCCGCGGUAAUACGGAGGGUGCAAGCGUUAAUCGGAAUUACUGGGCGUAAAGCGCACGCAGGCGGUUUGUUAAGUCAGAUGUGAAAUCCCCGGGCUCAACCUGGGAACUGCAUUUGAAACUGGCAAGCUAGAGUCUCGUAGAGGGGGGUAGAAUUCCAGGUGUAGCGGUGAAAUGCGUAGAGAUCCUGGAGGAAUACCGGUGGCGAAGGCGGCCCCCUGGACGAAGCA